ACCUUCAGCAGAGAGUCCAUGCACCUGCACUUGGUUCCUGUUAGAGACAGGAUUUUGCAGUGGAUCGUUUGCAAACAAUUUUGUUUGGUUUCAUUCCUCCUCUGCUUGCCACGAGUUCUACUGGGGAUGCUGAACGUUGGGUUUCCUGAUCACCAAAGAUACUGUGGUCGUCACCACGGUGACUGGGACACCUCCGUACAAUUGUGCAAUGGAAGGGUCGAGGUCACCACCCAGGGUGCCUUCAGUACAAUCGGAGAUGCAGGGAAUCACACUGCUCAGACCUGGCCCAUUGUGAGGGAAGCAGGAUGUUCCGCACUUAGGGCAAGGGACACUGACAGAGACUAGGACCAGCAGGGAGGGGCCCUGAAGGAAGUGUGCGCAGGGGAGAGCUCCACGAGUCCCACUCCAUCCAUGUCACAGGAACGGGGGACAAGUGGCCACAGCGCAGAGGUGGAAUCAGCUUUCCAAAGGCGACAGUGCGACGAUCCUGCCUCAGCUGAUGGGAUCCCUGCAGCUUCGCUGCCAGAGGCCCGUAGGGCACCACCGCAGACGUGAGAAGUGACACUGAGUGUUCCUAUCCGGAGCUCAGGGACUCUCCUUCCCAUGGCAACGGAGUGGACACGAACCAGCCCCGUGGCUCUCUCCGGAGGAGGAAGUGACUCUGUCCUUCGCUGCCAAAGGCACAAGCAAGUUCUGUCAGAGUAAAGCAAUGGGCAGAACCCAGUCUGGGGAGAGGCUGCAGAUUUCCCUGCUUGGUCUCGCCACGGACAAGGAAGCGCUAGGUCAUAUGUGGAGCUGCAGGGAUGACAGAUGGCUGCACUUCACAGGAAGGACUUCCCUGAUCUAGCUGAUCCACCCUUCUUCAGGAGAUGAUGCCUUUGGCUGUUCCUACAAGGAGUUUUCCAGGUUUGGCCAUUGUUGCUCAUUUAUCAAAGGUCAAGCAGGAAGAAGCAGAACUGGUCCGUUUCUGUCCACAGGUAAGCAAUGCACCAACUCACUGCCCAGGCCUAGGAAUAAAAGGCUGCAUUUCUAGUUCCAGGGAAAAUGAAGAUCUUGCAGUUCAGAGAAGGAAGAAAAGAGGAGGGUUUUAACCCUUGGACCUGGCGGUAUUGGCAAGAAUUCAAGGUCUGUGGUCGAACAUCAUUACAGGUAAGUGAGCUUGAAAAGUGUCUAGAAAUUUAAUGAACUGGUUGCUAAAGAGCCAUCUCCGUCCUAGCUGGCAACGCGUAAUAAUAAUAAAUAACAUGCUGUAUGUCCACCAUCGAUGAUUGCAGGUUUUCCUAGCUCGAGAUGUGGACAGACUUGAGACCAAGCCUACCAGGAAGAUGUGAGGAACGGUGGGAAGAGGUAAGAAAUCCCGGACUCAGGUAUCUAUGUGCAUAUCAAACCAUGUCGAUUUUCCUUUCAGGAAGAAGAACUGCUCUUGUC